rnacentral:rRNA from 1 species
UACGUAGGGGGCAAGCGUUGUCCGGAAUCAUUGGGCGUAAAGAGCGUGUAGGCGGCUUGGUAAGUCCGCUGUGAAAGUCCAGGGCUCAACCCUGGAAUGCCGGUGGAAACUGUCAAGCUUGAGUCCGGAAGAGGCGAGUGGAAUUCCUGGUGUAGCGGUGAAAUGCGCAGAUAUCGGGAGGAACACCGGUGGCGAAGGCGGUUCUCUGGGCCUUACCUGACGCUGAGGAGCGAAAGCGUGGGGAGCAAACGGG